AACGAACGCUGGCGGCAUGCCUAACACAUGCAAGUCGAACGAAGGCUUCGGCCUUAGUGGCGCACGGGUGCGUAACGCGUGGGAAUCUGCCCCUCGGUUCGGAAUAACAGUUAGAAAUGACUGCUAAUACCGGAUGAUGACUUCGGUCCAAAGAUUUAUCGCCGAGGGAUGAGACCGCGUAAGAUUAGGUCGUUGGUGGGGUAAAGGCCUAACAAGCCGACGAUCGUUAGCUGGUUGGAGAGGAUGAUCAGCCACACUGGGACUGAGACACGGCCCAGACUCCUACGGGAGGCAGCAGUGGGGAAUAUUGGACAAUGGGCGAAAGCCUGAUCCAGCAAUGCCGCGUGAGUGAUGAAGGCCUUAGGGUUGUAAAGCUCUUUUACCAGGGAUGAUAAUGACAGUACCUGGAGAAUAAGCUCCGGCUAACUCCGUGCCAGCAGCCGCGGUAAUAC
rnacentral:rRNA from 1 species